rnacentral:lncRNA from 1 species
GCCACAAUAAUCUUUAAUGAUUUUUUGAACAGUGAACUUCUAUGUCAUGAUUUAACCAAUAAACUAAAUUUAAAAUGAAAAAAAAAGAUAAAAAUGGGCUGGGUACAGUGGCUUAUGCCUGUAAUCCUAGCACUUUGGGAAGCCAAGGUGGGAGGAUCACUUGAAGCCAGCAGUUCAACACCAGCCUAGGCAACGAAGCAAGACCUCAACUCUAUAAAAAAAAUUUAUUUUAAUUAAAAUUACAAUUACAAAAAGAUAAAAAUGGUACACCUGAAUGGCGCACUUACCAUGGACGAGGCUUACAGGAACGGAAGUUGCCCUGGAUGAGUCAAUGAGUGAGUGAGUGGUGAGUGAAUGUGAAGGCCUAGGGCAUUACUGUACACUGCUGUGGACUUGAUAAACAUUGUACACGUAGGCUAUGCUAAAUGUGUAACAAGUAUUUUUCUUUCUUCAGUAAUAAAUUAAGGAAUGACACAGAGAAGAUCAGCAUGGCCCCUGUGCAAGGAUGACAUGUGAAUUAAUCUGUUCUCACAUUGCUGUAAAGAAAUACCCGAGAGUGGGUAAUUUAUAAAGGAAAGAAGUUUAACUGACUCACAGUUCAGCAUGGCUGGGGAGACCUUAGAAAAGAAACACAAUCGUGGCAGAAGGCAAAGGAAAAGCAGGGCACCUUCUUCACAAGGCAGCAGGAAGGAGAAGUGAGUGCAAGCAGGGGAAAUGCUAGACAUGUAUAAAACCAUCAGAUCUCGGCAGGGCGCGGUGGCUCAUACCUAUAAUCCUAGCACUUUG